rnacentral:rRNA from 1 species
AGUAGCAAUACAACUGGUGGCGACCGGCGCGACGGGUGAGUAACGCGUAUGCAACCUACCUAUCGAGAGGGGAAUAACCCGGCGAAAGUCGGACUAAUACCGCAUAAAACAGGGGCACCGCAUGGUGAUAUUUGUUAAAGAAAUUCGCUGAUAGAUGGGCAUGCGUUCCAUUAGGUAGUUGGUGAGGUAACGGCUCACCAAGCCGACGAUGGAUAGGGAACUGAGAGGUUGGUCCCCCACACUGGUACUGAGACACGGACCAGACUCCUACGGGAGGCAGCAGUGAGGAAUAUUGGUCAAUGGGCGGGAGCCUGAACCAGCCAAGUCGCGUGAAGGAAGAAGGAUCUAUGGUUCGUAAACUUCUUUUGCAGGGGAAUAAAGUGCAGGACGUGUCCUGUUUUGUAUGUACCCUGAGAAUAAGGAUCGGCUAACUCCGUGCCAGCCGCCGC